AGUCUGAGGACGGCUCACAUACCGUUAGUUUGUUCGACUGUAUCACUUAUUCAACCGUCAUUUUACGCAAUAGAAAAACGAUUCAACCGCUGUCGGGGCAAAUUACAUCCGCUGUGGAGGUGUUUAGCUACACCCGAGCUACUUGCAGCCAUUGAUUCACUGGUCGCUCUCUUUUCCCCUCUCACUCUCUACACACGCCUGCUAGAAACAGGACCGACGGCUAUUUCACGCCACACGCAAGCAUUGGAAGCGUUUCCAGGCUAAAUUUUAUAUGAAAAGAUAUAUUAGUAUAUUUCAUUUUGACAUGAAUACAAAUUAAUAAAUGGCAUGUUGAUGUUCGAAAGUCUCGAGUUUAUGACAUAAAUGCAGAUAUACAAAUGUAAUUUAAAAAACAAAAAGAUGAUCGAUUUUCAAAUAUUGCACCUGUACAGAAUGCAAUAUACUGUAGUGUAUUUACCGUCAAUACUGCCGACGUUGUCUUUGCUGUAAUCAAAUCAGUAUAUAUUGAUGUGUAACAUGAAGUAUACUGCUUGAGUGCAGUAAAUCAAUGGGAAACAUGCAUGUGUCCAGACAAGGCUAGCAGCAGCAGCGCCGCGUCCGACACGUUUCUGGUGUGAAAAGACAGAAAAAUCCACGCAACUGACAUGCAACAGAAAUGCCACGCCGGCAGUGUGUAACCGGCCUCACACACGCUUGUUUUCAUGCCGGUUUUCUCUGUAACACAGGUGUUGUUUCGGUUUUAUUACCUUAUUGUAUUUAACAGUGACAUUGUUGUGCUGAGUUGUUGACCUAAACAGUUUCUUGUUUUACAGAUUCUUGUGGUGUGAGGAUGCUGUGGAAGUGCAGCCCUGGAGGGUGCCUGUAAAGACUUGGUUGAUGAAAUGCAGAAGAGAACACCAAAUGGACCUCUUGUGAAACAGAAGAUGGAUCAGACGUUUGCUCUGAGAAGAAAAGAGGUAGUGGAGUCGGAACCUGCCAUAAGCACGAUGGUCUUCAUGGAGUUCAGCAGGAUUGUGGGCAAGAACCUCAAGACGGAAUUCUAUGAGAGCAUCGACCGGCACAGUCAUCGUCUCCUCGAGUUAUUUGGAUCCAAGAGAGGGAAU